GACGAACGCUGGCGGCGUGCUUAACACAUGCAAGUCGAACGGAAAGGCCCUGCUUUUGUGGGGUGCUCGAGUGGCGAACGGGUGAGUAACACGUGAGUAACCUGCCCUUGACUUUGGGAUAACUUCAGGAAACUGGGGCUAAUACCGGAUAGGAGCUCCUGCUGCAUGGUGGGGGUUGGAAAGUUUCGGCGGUUGGGGAUGGACUCGCGGCUUAUCAGCUUGUUGGUGGGGUAGUGGCUUACCAAGGCUUUGACGGGUAGCCGGCCUGGGAGGGUGACCGGCCACAUUGGGACUGGGAUACGGCCCAGACUCCUAGGGGAGGCAGCAGGGGGAAAUAUGGCACAAUGGGCGGAAGCCUGAUGCAGCAACGCCGCGUGCGGGAUGACGGCCUUCGGGUUGUAAACCGCUUUAGCCUGUGACGAAGCGUGAGUGACGGUAAUGGGUAAAGAAGCACCGGCUAACUACGUG
rnacentral:rRNA from 1 species